CAGAUUGAUGGUGUUGCUCUCAUUUUCAGAUGAGAACAACAGACUCAGAAAGGUUAAGAAACUUAUCCGAGGUAACCAAACUGCAAGAAAAAAAGGCUUACAGAAGAGUUUGGAAAAAAGGCCUCAGUUUCAUCUGUUUUCAAUCUCUGUUUAAGGAGAUGCUAAGGAUGUGUUUCAUAAUAAGAAUUCAAGUGACAAGGAAUCAAGUCUGUAACAACUGUGUUUAGCUGUGAGAAAAAAUCCAGAAGAAAUGCCCAUUUCCCAUUCUUCAGUAAAUUGCAUGGGAGUACAGAAAACAGAUAAACAAUAUCAACUUAAGCAACGUAUGUUUGAGUAUAUAAUAAUACUGGAAAAAUUAAGCUUGAAAUAAAAAGAAACAGAAGCAGAGAAAUGAAGUAAUCAGUGUGGUAAGAGUUGGGUAAAAAUCUAUUCCACUCAACCUCAAUUAUUUAGACAAGUAAGUCUGAGGAAGUUUUCAAAGUCUGAAAAAAGUCUUAUGUUGAAAGAGAAGAUCUUAACUUCUGGAAUAUGGAAAGGCACAGAGCUAGAAAAAACUACUACUUAACAAAGUUUG
rnacentral:lncRNA from 1 species